GUGGGUGUGCCGGAACUGGUAGACGGAACGAGUUUAAGCCUCGUCGCUAUGUGCGUGAGAGUUCGAAUCUCUCCACCCGCA
rnacentral:tRNA from 1 species